UACGUAGGGGGCAAGCGUUGUCCGGAUUUAUUGGGCGUAAAGCGCUCGCAGGUGGUUCGUCGCGUCGUGCGUGAAAGACCCCGGCUCAACUGGGGGGUGUCGUGCGAUACGGGCGGACUGGAGGCCAGUAGGGGGAUGCGGAAUUCCGGGUGUAGUGGUGGAAUGCGCAGAUAUCAGGAGGAACACCGGUGGCGAAGGCGGAUCUCUGGGCCUUACCUGACGCUGAGGCGCGAAAGCUAGGGGAGCAAACAGG
rnacentral:rRNA from 1 species